rnacentral:rRNA from 1 species
GAUGAACGCUGGCGGCGUGCCUAAUACAUGCAAGUCGAGCGAACGGACGAGAAGCUUGCUCCUCUGAUGUUAGCGGCGGACGGGAGAGUAACACGUGGAUAACCUACCUAUAAGACUGGGAUAACUUCGGGAAACCGUAGCUAAUACCGGAUAAUAUAUUGAACCUCAUGGUUCAAAAGUGAAAGACGGUCUUGCUGUCACUUAUAGAUUGCUCCGCGCUGCAUUAGCUAGUUGGUAAGGUAACGGCUUACCAAGGCAACGAUGCAUAGCCGACCUGAGAGGGUGAUCGGCCACACUGGAACUGAGACACGGUCCAGACUCCUACAGGAGGCAGCGGUAGGGAAUCUUACGCGAUGGGCGAAAGCCGGACAUAGCAACGCCGCGUGAGUGAUGAAGGUCUUCGGAUCGUAAAGCUCUGUUAGUAGGGAAGAACAAAUGUGUAAGUAACUGUGCACAUAUUGACGGUACCUGAUCAAAAAGCCACGGCUAACUACGUG